ACACCGAUGGUGAAGUGGUUAUCAUGCUUGCCUUCCAUGCAUAGUCAUCAGCAAGCGGCACGGGUUCGAUUCCCGUUCGGUGUA